rnacentral:tRNA from 1 species
UCCUUCUUAGCUCAGUUGGUAGAGCGCGUCACUAGUAGAAAUUAAUUGAUGACGAGGUCAGUCGUUCAAGUCGGCUAGAAGGAA